AGCGAACGCUGGCGGCAGGCCUAACACAUGCAAGUCGAACGAAGUCUUCGGACUUAGUGGCGGACGGGUGAGUAACACGUGGGAACGUACCUUUUGGUUCGGAACAACUCAGGGAAACUUGAGCUAAUACCGGAUGAGCCCUUAGGGGGAAAGACUUAUCGCCGAAAGAGCGGCCCGCGUUAGAUUAGCUAGUUGGUGAGGUAAAGGCUCACCAAGGCUACGAUCUAUAGCUGGUCUGAGAGGAUGAUCAGCCACACUGGGACUGAGACACGGCCCAGACUCCUACGGGAGGCAGCAGUGGGGAAUCUUGCGCAAUGGGCGAAAGCCUGACGCAGCCAUGCCGCGUGAAUGAUGAAGGUCUUAGGAUUGUAAAAUUCUUUUACAGGGACGAUAAUGACGGUACCUGGAGAAAAAGCCCCGGCUAACUUCGUGCCAGCCGCCGCCGUAAUAC
rnacentral:rRNA from 1 species